AGAGUUUGAUCCUGGCUCAGGAUGAACGCUAGCGGCAGGCUUAACACAUGCAAGUCGAGGGGCAGCAUUACUUUUCGGAGUAGAUGGCGACCGGCGCACGGGUGCGUAACGCGUAUGCAACCUACCCUUAACUGUAGGAUAGCCCGGAGAAAUCCGGAUUAAUACUACAUGGUACUAUAGUAUGGCAUCAUAUAAUAGUUAAAGAUUUAUUGGUAAAGGAUGGGCAUGCGUGACAUUAGCUAGUUGGUACGGUAACGGCGUACCAAGGCUACGAUGUCUAGGGGUUCUGAGAGGAAGAUCCCCCACACUGGUACUGAGACACGGACCAGACUCCUACGGGAGGCAGCAGUGAGGAAUAUUGGUCAAUGGGCGCGAGCCUGAACCAGCCAUGCCGCGUGCAGGAAGACGGCCUUCUGGGUUGUAAACUGCUUUUAUACGGGAGCAAAAAGGUCCUGCGGGACAAAUUGAGAGUAUCGUAUGAAUAAGCACCGCUAACU
rnacentral:rRNA from 1 species